UACGGGGGGGGCAAGCGUUGUUCGGAAUUACUGGGCGUAAAGGGUUCGUAGGUGGCCAGCUAAGUCAGAAGUGAAAUCCCUCAGCUUAACUGAGGAACUGCGUCUGAUACUGGUUGGCUUGAGUGCAGGAGAGGAACGCGGAAUUCCAGGUGUAGCGGUGAAAUGCGUAGAUAUCUGGAGGAACACCGGUGGCGAAGGCGGCGUUCUGGACUGCAACUGACACUGAGGAACGAAAGCCAGGGGAGCAAAC
rnacentral:rRNA from 1 species